UACAGAGGGUGCAAGCGUUGUUCGGAAUUAUUGGGCGUAAAGCGUGCGUAGGCGGUUGCGCAAGACAGGUGUGAAAUCCCCGGGCUUAACCUGGGAAUUGCACUUGUGACUGUGCGGCUGGAGUGCGGCAGAGGGGGAUGGAAUUCCGCGUGUAGCAGUGAAAUGCGUAGAGUAUGCGGAGGAACACCGAUGGCGAAGGCAGUCCCCUGGGCCUGCACUGACGCUCAUGCACGAAAGCGUGGGAGCAACAGG
rnacentral:rRNA from 1 species